rnacentral:lncRNA from 1 species
UCUGUACUUUGUCUGUAUUCGGUCUGUAUGUAAACGAUGUCCUUGUCAGUCCUGUAAGUUGACAAAGUCAACCGUCCUCCUGGUUUGACUUAGUCAACAGUUGAAAGAUGUACUGUGUCGAAGGAUAAGAGGUCGAAGGAUAAUGUGGAUCCUUCGACCUCAUCGAAAGAUAUGGUUCGAAUCAUAGACCUCGAAAGGUAAUCUUUCGAGGUCCUUGAUGAUCUUUCGAAUACUUGGUCUUCGAUAGAUGAUCCUUCGGACCAUCUAUCAGAUCCUUCGAUCAGACAUGCUAGGCUGGUGUUGAGUUUUAGACAGAGAUGCACACAGACAGAACACACACAUCCGAGAGAUAUUGUUGAGAGCAUUCUGUCCAGAAAACACACACACACUUUUGAGAGUUUACAAGUUAGGUUUGUAAACAUUGUGCUUGUA